AAUUCAAGUACAUAAUAAAAAUAACGUUAAUGGUACAAUGCUACGUAAUUUUAAAAGUAAAAAGUAAACGCAGCCAUUUUGAUUCUAUCCAAAUCGCCAAAUUUUAAUCACGUUAUAGGCUUUCUAUUUUAUUGAAAUCAAGCCAAUAAACUGUUAAUUUAAAUCGACCUUUUGAAUUUUAAUCAAAAUUCAAUCAAUUAGGAAAUUAUCAUUAACCUUUAGAAAAUUGUAGAUUUUAUAGACGUUUACAAAAAAGUUAAAUAAAAAAUGGAAUUGAGUACAUUGGGCCGAUUAUAGUGACAGACUUGCAAGGAAGAAAGCAAUAUAAUGCACAUCGUGUGUUUUAUACAGUAAAAUGUGCAGCAUGGAUAAAUAAUAACGGGAGAAAAGAACGGCGAGAAAGUCGUCAAAAAGAGAAAUAAUAAUCGACACAUUCGCUUAUUAAAUCGAAAGCAACGGACGGCAGUGGGAACAAUUUUACAGUGUGAAAGUACUUUAAUUUUCAAAAUGUUUUCUUAUUAAGUCGCGUGGUAUCAUAAGUCUCAAUGGGAUGAGUUAUUUGCGAGGAUAAUGAUCGUUCGCAUUAAUUCAUAUUACAACUGAAAAUUCUUCUCGAACGUCAAUGCCACGCCAUCAACAAAGUGAGCACUCUAAUAAAUUGUGGCCUAGAAAAAUGCGCAAAACUCCAAAAGGGUGUUCUGUCACGAAAUCGACAAAUUUUGUCAACGUGUUCGGAUGGUUAUCCUAACUAGAUAAGUUUAUAUAUAUAUAUAUAUAUCAUGGAUCGAUUUGGCUUCCCAAGAUAUGAGAAAAGAACACUAUUGUACAAGGCUCCAUACUGAAAGCUCUCUGAUUUCCAUGUAUAUGUAAUGACCGUUUGAUUUAUCGAUAUGAAAUCACAUUAAUGUUAAGUAUCACUUGACAAUUACAGUACAAUGCCCUCCCGUUCACAGAUAUUGUUUUAAAUUGUCUAUCACAGUGCCGCAAACAUGCUGCGAGCCGUUACUCCAGUGAUUACAUUCAAAGAACAUUAGCAAUUACGAUGUAUUCUACCUGCAGUUUCUGUUAUCGCCUGUACUCACUGAUCUCGUAUUUCUUGCUUUCCAGUGCAAGUAUACUCCGGAAAUUAUACGGCCCCGCAAGAAAAAGUGCAACCUCCGGUACAUUGGCAUUUCAAUCCUUAUCUUGGAAACGAAGUCAACUCGACUUACGGUGUAUAUGAAUUUUUAUACUUUUUUUUUUUAAGAAAUACCCUCCGAACAACGCUUGUUCUUUUCGUGACGAACUAUUCUAUAAUUACUGUUAUAAUUAAAAUGAUCACAAGUACUUCAAAUUGUCGGUUCUUUAUUUUAUGUUAAUUAUAAUAUUGUAAUAUAAUCAUAAUUGUAAAUAUAAUUGUGUUUAUUACUAUCAAAGUAAUUAAAAUAUCACGAUUAUAAUUAAAUGACAUGUUAUGCUAUAAUAUCAUUAAUUGUAGAAAUAUCCUGUCUCAAAAAAAUUCAAUAAAUAAUUUUUGUUGUCGA